UACGUAGGGUGCGAGCGUUAAUCGGAAUUACUGGGCGUAAAGCGUGCGCAGGCGGUGAUGUAAGACCGAUGUGAAAUCCCCGGGCUUAACCUGGGAACUGCAUUGGUGACUGCAUUGCUGGAGUAUGGCAGAGGGGGGUGGAAUUCCACGUGUAGCAGUGAAAUGCGUAGAGAUGUGGAGGAACACCGAUGGCGAAGGCAGCCCCCUGGGCCUGUACUGACGCUCAUGCACGAAAGCGUGGGGAGCAAACAGG
rnacentral:rRNA from 1 species